rnacentral:rRNA from 1 species
UACGAAGGGGGCUAGCGUUGCUCGGAAUCACUGGGCUUAAAGGGCGCGUAGGCGGGCUGUCAAGUCUGGGGUGAAAUGCCACGGCUCAACCGUGGAACUGCCUUAGAUACUGACGGCCUCGAGGAAGGUAGGGGCAUGCGGAACUGUAGGUGGAGCGGUGAAAUGCGUUGAUAUCUACAGGAACUCCGGUGGCGAAAGCGGCGUGCUGGACCUUUUCUGACGCUGAGGCGCGAAAGCUAGGGGAGCAAACGGG